AACCUUAUGGACCUGCGGGCGUAUACCUGCGGAAGGAUCAUUACCGAGUUUACAACUCCCAAACCCAUGUGAACAUACCUAUCGUUGCUUCGGCGGAUCGCCCCGGGCGCCUUGCGUGCCCCGGAUCCAGGCGGCCGCCGGGGGACCUUAACUCUUGUUUUUACUGAGAAUCUUCUGAGUCGUUUUUACAAAUAAAUAAAAACUUUUAACAACGGAUCU
rnacentral:misc_RNA from 1 species